rnacentral:rRNA from 1 species
AUUGAACGCUGGCGGCAGGCCUAACACAUGCAAGUCGAACGGUAGCACAGAGAGCUUGCUCUUGGGUGACGAGUGGCGGACGGGUGAGUAAUGUCUGGGAAACUGCCCGAUGGAGGGGGAUAACUACUGGAAACGGUAGCUAAUACCGCAUAACGUCUUCGGACCAAAGUGGGGGACCUUCGGGCCUCACACCAUCGGAUGUGCCCAGAUGGGAUUAGCUAGUAGGUGGGGUAAUGGCUCACCUAGGCGACGAUCCCUAGCUGGUCUGCGAGGAUGACCAGCCACACUGGAACUGAGACACGGUCCAGACUCCUACGGGAGGCAGCAGUGGGGAAUAUUGCACAAUGGGCGCAAGCCUGAUGCAGCCAUGCCGCGUGUAUGAAGAAGGCCUUCGGGUUGUAAAGUACUUUCAGCGGGGAGGAAGGCGAUGAGGUUAAUAACCGCAUCGAUUGACGUUACCCGCAGAAGAAGCACCGGCUAACUCCGUGCCAGCCGCCGCGGUAA